rnacentral:rRNA from 1 species
CGCUAGCGGCAGGCCUAAUACAUGCAAGUCGAACGGUAACAUUGGUGCUUGCACCAGAUGACGAGUGGCGCACGGGUGCGUAACGCGUAUGCAAUCUACCUUUUACUAGAGUAUAGCCCAGAGAAAUUUGGAUUAAUCCUCUAUAAUAUCUUUUAAUUUCAUGAUUUUAAGAUUAAAGUUUUAACGGUAAAAGAUGAGCAUGCGUCCUAUUAGUUUGUAGGUGAGGUAACGGCUCACCUAGACUACGAUAGGUAGGGGCCCUGAGAGGGGGAUCCCCCACACUGGUACUGAGACACGGACCAGACUCCUACGGGAGGCAGCAGUAAGGAAUAUUGGACAAUGGACGAAAGUCUGAUCCAGCCAUGCCGCGUGCAGGAUGAAAGCCCUACGGGUUGUAAACUGCUUUUAUACAGGAAGAAACACUCCGACGUGUCGGAGCUUGACGGUACUGUAAGAAUAAGGAUCGGCUAACUCCGUGCCAGCAGCCGCGGUAAUACGGAGGAUCCAAGCGUUAUCCGGAAUCAUUGGGUUUAAAGGGUCCGCAGGCUGUUUUUUAAGUCAGAGGUGAAAUCCUACAGCUCAACUGUAGAACUGCCUUUGAUACUGAAAAACUUGAGUUAUUGUGAAGUGGUUAGAAUGUGUGGUGUAGCGGUGAAAUGCAUAGAUAUCACACAGAAUACCGAUUGCGAAGGCAGAUCACUAACAAUAUACUGACGCUCAUGGACGAAAGCGUGGGGAGCGAACAGGAUUAGAUACCCUGGUAGUCCACGCCGUAAACGAUGGAUACUAGCUGUUCGUCUAACAUUGGUUAGAUGAGUGGCUAAGCGAAAGUGAUAAGUAUCCCACCUGGGGAGUACGGUCGCAAGACUGAAACUCAAAGGAAUUGAC